CAGCCUUGUAUCUGGUACAAGCAAACUGUUGUGCAUCUUCACUCGUCCCUGGCUCUUGUUUCAGAAAUUGGUUACAAGGAAAUGCCAAGAUUUCAAAACCUUGGUCCUUAUACUUGUUAUAAAGAUCGGUCAACUGGGUGUAAUUCGAAUCUGUAAAUCCACAUUUAGAGGCGACAUUAACCACGAGAAGAACCUUGCCUUUGUAGAUGCUGAAGUCGACAUCCUGACCCCGGGCAUCCUUGACAGAGAAUUCAUGGAUGGAUUUCUCUGGGACAGAUGGAGAAGCACCCAUCCCUGUUCUCUGACCUGUCCAACUGGGACUAGAAACACCUAAAUCCUCUGCCCUCACUAAUGGGUUUUAGGAUUCUAUCCACUACCCACCCCAAAGGAUUAAUCAUUGCUGAUUG
rnacentral:misc_RNA from 1 species